AGUGAACGCUGGCGGCAGGCCUAACACAUGCAAGUCGAACGGCAGCACAGUGGAGCUUGCUCCAUGGGUGGCGAGUGGCGGACGGGUGAGGAAUACAUCGGAAUCUGCCCAGUCGUGGGGGAUAACAUAGGGAAACUUAUGCUAAUACCGCAUACGACCUACGGGUGAAAGCGGGGGAUCGCAAGACGUCGCGCGAUUGGAUGAGCCGAUGUCCGAUUGGCUAGUUGGCGGGGUAAGGGCCCACCAAGGCGACGAUCGGUAGCUGGUCUGGGAGGAUGAUCAGCCACACUGGAACUGAGACACGGUCCAGACUCCUACGGGAGGCAGCAGUGGGGAAUAUUGGACAAUGGGCGCAAGCCUGAUCCAACCAUGCCGCGUGGGUGAAGAAGGCCUUCGGGUUGUAAAGCCCUUUUGUCCGGAAAGAAAAGCCCUGGGUUAACACCCUGGGGUGAUGACGGUACCGGAAGAAUAAGCACCGGCUAACUUCGUGCCAGCCGCCGCGGUAACAC
rnacentral:rRNA from 1 species